rnacentral:lncRNA from 1 species
AAAACGUUGCCCUCAAACAUUCCAAACCAGUCCCCUUUUCCUCGUCUAAAACCGCCUAAACCAGCUCCCAAAACGAGCCACAAACCAGCUGAAAAUCAGCGCCAAAUAACCAGCCAAACACAUGAAAUUUCAGCAGCCUUCCACCUCCAAAACCACCCAAAAAUAGCCUUCUUCCUCAACCAAAAACAUCCCAAAAUCAGCACGAAAUCCCAGCUAAGCACACCCCGUGAACAACCCCGUUUUGAACGUAAACAGUGGCAUCAAAGUGGAGGUUGAGUUUCCGUUGAGGUCUCGAGUUGCCGAUUUCGUCCGGGUUCACCGGCGAAAGCUCCGGUCAAGAGUCGUCGAGUUGUUUAACCUCUUGUAAUUCCAAUCUGGUUGAUUUAUACCAAAGGUCCGUUCUCGCGUUUUUUCGACUGAUUAUUUUGUCCAUUUACGUUGUUAUUUGUUAGCGUAAUUAUUGGGGCAUGAGGUAGUAGUUCAUUUUAUUGAUGUUUGGAUUGUUCGAUUCUAAGUGUUUCCAUGUUCAUAUCCUCAUUGUACCUUUUGUUAAUUGUGCGAAUGAAUACUUAUUAGAGUUUUAGAUUUCAUAUAUAUUUGUCCAUGUUCUUUAUCAUAAAUUAAAUCUAAGUAGAACUAAUUGGUGCAAUUUAGUUGCUGGGUCAUAUCAUUGUAGUUUACUUAGUUUAGUCGAUUUUCUCUUAUCUGAUAACAAGUACAAAUGUUUAGACUAAGGAUUUUGUCUAUGGGGAAGAAUUUGGGUUUCAAAAUAAUGUUCACUGUCCGUAGAACAGAUCUAAGAAUUGAGAAGCAAUUGGGCCAACAAUUUUAAUUCUAGUUAACCCAACAUCCAUAAUAUUCCGCUCAAUCCAUCUUCUUAAUUAAUAAAGAUUGUUCCAUAAUAGAUAAUUCCAACAACUAAACACUACCCUAUUUCUACAAUAAUUUCCCUAAGUUAUGGCCUUACAAUAAUCUCAAAAUUUAGGAAGAAUUUAUGAACAUUCGUAGAAUGCUUUAGGUGCGUUUUUUAAUUCAUUAUCAUGGUUAUGUACACGUUCGCGUGACGUAAUUUUGAUUUUCAAAAUAAAUCAAGAUACGCGUUCGUGCGACUUUGGCCAAACAAUCUUAAUAAUUAACAAAGCUUGAUUAAUUGUGUACACGUACGCGUGAAAUGAUUUUAGCGCCCCAAAUAAAAUGGAUUUACACACAUGUGAUCCGUUUCAAAGGUAAAUCCAUAAACACCAUAAUUUAAAGCGGUAAAAGGUAAAAUGUACGUAAGUUCUAAAAUGGGUAAUUAGAUAAUUAACUAAGUCAGGUAUGAUUAAAGCGACCGUGCUAAAACCACGGAACUCGGGAGUGCCUCAUACCUUUUCCCAGGUUAACAAAAUUCCUUACCUGGUCUUUUAUGUUCGCAGACCAUAAAUAAGAGUCAAUUUCCUCGAUUUGGGAUUUUAAAAUAAAUCGGUGACUUGGGACACCAUAACAAAUAUUCCAAGUGGCGACUCUAAAUUAAAUAAAUGAUCCCAUUUCAAAUUAGGUCACUUUAAUUGGAAAAACUCCCUUAUUUCCCUCGGGAAAAAGGAGGCGUGACAGCUCUGGCGACUCUGCUGGGGACUAGAACCCAGAAUCUCUGGUUCAGGAUUUAGAAUUCGAGCUUAUUAAUGUGAUCUAUACUUGGCUUUCUUGAUUAUUGAUAUUACUGUAUUUGUGGGCCUAAUGUGCUAAUUGUCGCUCAUUUACCGCUUUGAUAUUGUUUGAACUGUAUAAAUUGUCUUCUUACGCCUCCCUUCUGAGUCUUCUGAAACUAUGGUGCACACGUAUCUGUGGCCCACUUUAUAUUAGAGGUCGAAAAUAAGAGUGUGUAUGUGCAUGUGAGUUUGUUACAAAAACAAACUCACAUGCACAUACACACUCUUAUUUUCUUGGCCACCAAUUAAUCCCUAAACCUACACCUCUAUAUCUUCCGCUCACUCACACAAUUAAAAGGACACACAUACACGAAAGAGGGGAGGGAACAAAAAGAAAGAGGAACUAGAGAAUGGAGGAGGAUUUGGCUCUUCUUCUCCAAAAAACCAGCAACUUUUAGCCAUUAAAAAGCUUUUUCUUCCACCAUUAACAUAGCCUUUCUCCUCCAUCCAAGCACCCCUGUCUUCCUUCAUUAAAAUACAUCAAACUUACGUCCAUUAACACCCCCUAAAGCUCCGCAAAAAGCCGGAAAAUGUUUUCCUCAAACAUACCAAACUAGUCCCCUUUUCCUCGUCUAAAACCGCCCAAACCAGCUCCCAAAACGAGCCACAAACCAGCUGAAAAUCAGCGCCAAACAACCAGCCAAACACAUGAAAUUUCAGCAGCCUUCCACCUCCAAAAUCACCCAAAAACAGCCUUCUUCCUCAACCAAAAACAUCCCAAAAUCAGCUCCAAAUCCCAGCUAAGCACACCCCCUGAACAGUCCCGUUUUGAACGUAAACAGUGGCAUCAAAGUGGAGGUUGAGGUUGCCGUUGAGUUCUCGAGUUGCCGAUUCCGUCCGGAUUCACCGGCAAAAACUCCGGUCAAGAGUUGUCGAGUUGUUUAACCUCUUGUAAUUCCAAUCUGGUUGAUUU